rnacentral:rRNA from 1 species
CCUACGGGAGGCAGCAGUAGGGAAUCUUCCACAAUGGGCGAAAGCCUGAUGGAGCAACGCCGCGUGGGUGAUGAAGGUCUUCGGAUCGUAAAACUCUGUUGUUAGAGAAGAAAGUGCGUGAGAGUAACUGUUCACGUUUCGACGGUACCUAACCAGAAAGCAACGGCUAACUACGUGCCAGCAGCCGCGGUAAUACGUAGGUGGCAAGCGUUAUCCGGAUUUAUUGGGCGUAAAGGGAACGCAGGCGGUCUUUUAAGUCUGAUGUGAAAGCCUUCGGCUUAACCGGGGUAGUGCAUUGGAAACUGGGAGACUUGAGUGCAGAAGAGGAGAGUGGAACUCCAUGUGUAGCGGUGAAAUGCGUAGAUAUAUGGAAGAACACCAGUGGCGAAGGCGACUCUCUGGUCUGUAACUGACGCUGAGGUUCGAAAGCGUGGGUAGCAAACAGGAUUAGAUACCCCUGUAGUC